rnacentral:tRNA from 1 species
GAUUGCUCAGUUGGUUAGAGUGUGGUGUUGAUAACACCAAGGUUGCAGGUUUGAUCCCCAUAUGGGACA